GACGAACGCUGGCGGCGUGCUUAACACAUGCAAGUCGAACGAUGAAGCUGGAGCUUGCUCCGGUGGAUUAGUGGCGAACGGGUGAGUAACACGUGAGCAAUCUGCCCUUGACUCUGGGAUAACUGCGGGAAACUGUAGCUAAUACCGGAUAUGAGGCUUGGAGGCAUCUCCAGGUCUGGAAAGAAUUUCGGUCAAGGAUGAGCUCGCGGCCUAUCAGCUAGUUGGUGAGGGAAUGGCUCACCAAGGCGACGACGGGUAGCCGGCCUGAGAGGGUGACCGGCCACACUGGGACUGAGACACGGCCCAGACUCCUACGGGAGGCAGCAGUGGGGAAUAUUGCACAAUGGGCGAAAGCCUGAUGCAGCAACGCCGCGUGAGGGAUGAAGGCCUUCGGGUUGUAAACCUCUUUUAGCAGGGAAGAAGCGAAAGUGACGGUACCUGCAGAAAAAGCACCGGCUAACUACGUGCCAGCAGCCGCGGUAA
rnacentral:rRNA from 1 species